rnacentral:rRNA from 1 species
UAGGGAAUCUUGCGCAAUGGGCGGAAGCCUGACGCAGCGACACCGCGUGAGGGACGAAGGCCCUCGGGUUGUAAACCUCUUUCGGCAGGGACGAAGCGAUCGUGACGGUACCUGCAGAAGAAGCUCCGGCCAACUACGUGCCAGCAGCCGCGGUAAGACGUAGGGAGCGAGCGUUGUCCGGAUUCAUUGGGCGUAAAGAGCGCGCAGGCGGUUUGGUAAGUCGGAUGUGAAAGCCCGGGGCUCAACCCCGGACCGGCAUCCGAUACUGCCCGACUCGAGGUAGGUAGGGGAGAUCGGAAUUCCUGGUGUAGCGGUGAAAUGCGCAGAUAUCAGGAGGAACACCGGUGGCGAAGGCGGAUCUCUGGGCCUUACCUGACGCUCAGGCGCGAAAGCUAGGGGAGCGAACAGG